rnacentral:rRNA from 1 species
AUUGAACGCUGGCGGCAUGCCUUACACAUGCAAGUCGAGCGGUAACAGGUUAAGCUGACGAGUGGCGAACGGGUGAGUAAUGUAUCGGAACGUGCCCAGUCGUGGGGGAUAACUGCGCGAAAGAGCAGCUAAUACCGCAUACGACCUGAGGGUGAAAGCGGGGGAUCGCAAGACCUCGCGCGAUUGGAGCGGGCGAUAUCAGAUUAGGUAGUUGGUGGGGUAAAGGCCUACCAAGCCUACGAUCGGUAGCUGGUCUGAGAGGACGACCAGCCACACUGGGACUGAGACACGGCCCAGACUCCUGCGGGAGGCAGCAGUGGGGAAUUUUGGACAAUGGACGCAAGUCUGAUCCAGCCAUGCCGCGUGCGGGAAGAAGGCCUUCGGGUUGUAAACCGCUUUUGUCAGGGAAGAAAAGGUUCUGGUUAAUACCUGGGACUCAUGACGGUACCUGAAGAAUAAGCACCGGCUAACUACGUGCCAGCAGCCGCCGUAACAC